rnacentral:rRNA from 1 species
UGGGGAAUUUUGGACAAUGGGCGCAAGCCUGAUCCAGCCAUGCCGCGUGUCUGAAGAAGGCCUUCGGGUUGUAAAGGACUUUUGUCAGGGAAGAAAAGGAUAGGGUUAAUACCCCUGUCUGAUGACGGUACCUGAAGAAUAAGCACCGGCUAACUACGUGCCAGCAGCCGCGGUAAUACGUAGGGUGCGAGCGUUAAUCGGAAUUACUGGGCGUAAAGCGGGCGCAGACGGUUACUUAAGCAGGAUGUGAAAUCCCCGGGCUCAACCUGGGAACUGCGUUCUGAACUGGGUGACUAGAGUGUGUCAGAGGGAGGUAGAAUUCCACGUGUAGCAGUGAAAUGCGUAGAGAUGUGGAGGAAUACCGAUGGCGAAGGCAGCCUCCCGGGAUAACACUGACGUUCAUGCCCGAAAGCGUGGGUAGCAAACAGGAUUAGAUACCCUGGUAGUCCACGCCCUAAACGAUGUCGAUUAGCUGUUGGGCAGCUUGACUGCUUAGUAGCGAAGCUAACGCGUGAAAUCGACCGCCUGGGGAGUACGGUCGCAAGAUUA